UGGGGAAUAUUGCACAAUGGGGGGAACCCGUGAUGCAGCGACGCCGCGUGAGUGAAGAAGUAUUUCGGUAUGUAAAGCUCUAUCAGCAGGGAAGAUAAUGACGGUACCUGACUAAGAAGCCCCGGCUAACUACGUGCC
rnacentral:rRNA from 1 species